GAGGAACACCACAAAUGUAUGUUGAAUAAGAGUGACAGAGAUGAACCUGGAGAAAGAAAUUGAGGGAGAGAGACACCAUCCAGCAGGAAUCUGGGCCAUAAACUUAGAGGAAGUGGAACUGGCCAACCUUCCUGGUCCUAAAAACCAGCCACAGGGAACGUGAAGCUCUUCCUGAAUUCCUCAGGCCUCAGAGAAGCUGUUUUCCCAGUGGCUUAAUAAGAACUUGAGCUCUGGAGUUAUACUUGAGUGGCAAGGCAAAGGACAAAUGACCAUGGAGCAGUUAGCCACCAAGGGGCUCAGAGGUUGAGUUAGCAGACAUUUGGCAUUCCUAAAAGGCUCCUUCUGACAAUCCAGUUGCUCAGAUUUUAUCAUCUUUAAAAACAAGUAUUUGCUAAGGUCAACUUUGAAGAAGCGGGAUCUGAACAGAAGAACAUACAAGCUGGAACUGGACUCCCAGAGAUUUCAUUGACAUCUUUAACCAGGAGACAUCCCACAAUAUCUCUGUAAUUACUUACAUAACCCUCUCUCCUACUAAAAUGAAGAAUCUAAAGGGUAGAGAUGAUUUCUUAUUCAUCACACAUAUA